CAGCCAAGCCAAACUGAAACAACCCACCAAAUGAGGAGCCCCUUUUUUCGGUUAAACCUAACAUUUUCAACCCUAAUCCUAAACAAAUCAGCAGCCACGCCUCUUUGCCUCUUCUUCCCCAUUUUGAGUAAAAUUCCAAAGGUUCUUUCACCAUGGACAGGAUGUUGUCACACUAUUUUCCCAUAAGGCUUCUCUCACUAUAUCUCUCCUUGAAACAAGUUAUGUAUUUGGCCUAUUGAAAUCUGCUAAAGCAAGAAACAAAUCUCCCUAUUUCGAGUAUCUUCAAAGACUAAACUUGACAAUCUGGACCAAAUCACGUGAGGCCUGCAAACACAUCCAAACAUUUGGAUUUCAAAAGGCCUUCGAGUUCCAUUUUCAAAUCUGCCCGCCCAAAAAUGAAAUCCUAGAGUUUCACUUUCUCCUAUAAAUACUAACGUUUUAGAGCCCUAGGGAAAAAAAUUUGGGGGAGCCGCCACUUAACACCUUAAAAAUACUCUCAACAUCUUCCAAAGCUUUCUUUCUUUCUUGGCGAACUUUAGCCACGAAAAAGGUAUUUGAACUCAUCCGACUCUAGUUUCGAGUCUUUUCAAUACGAAAGUGUAGGUUCGAGGCCCCGACAUCCCGUUCACUGCACCAAAAAAAGGUAUGAAGACUUUACAUUGGACUAUGCUUCGAUCAACAGCGGAUGAGAAUCGAGGAUAUCACAAAAUGGAGCCAAGAAAUUUAGACAUAACAAAAUUGUAUUUACUUUACUUAGAUUAGGAAGUACUUUAUGUUAUAUUCAUUUGAUAUGUAAUAAAUAUUACAUUACUUUUGUACUUUAUUUUGGGAAAUAGAAUUUGUUUAAUUAGCCAAGAGCAAUGGGAUGACGUAUUAUGACACAUUUUACCCUUCAAACAAACGUUAGGCCUACCUCUGGCACAAAGAGGUCACAUGCA